rnacentral:rRNA from 1 species
GGAACAGAGGGUGGCGAACGUUGCUCGGAAUUACUGGGCGUAAAGCGCGUGUAGGCGGGCCGACAAGUCAGGUGUGAAAUCCCCGAGCUCAACUCGGGAACUGCACUUGAAACUGUCGGUCUUGAGUGCCGGAGAGGGUGGCGGAAUUCCUGGUGUAGCGGUGAAAUGCGCAGAUAUCAGGAAGAACACCCGUGGCUAAGGCGGUUCUCUAGUACGGUACUGACGCUGAGACGCGAAAGCGUGGGGAGCGAACAGG